rnacentral:lncRNA from 1 species
UUUUCCCCAGCUGGCCUGGACUGCCUGUGCUCUGGGCUCCAGCAAUCCGGGGAUAGUUUCAGCAAGAUCAACACUGAGUAUCCCUGACAGGAUUCAGCCAAGGGCCAGUGGCAGCUUCCCAGCCUCUUUGGAGAGUGAUCUGCCUGCUCCCCGCAGUUGAGAGUGCUGCACUGCAAGUGUUACCUGGUGAGGCCCACCUCCAGCCCACUACUUCUGGGGAGAGAAUGAAAUGGAAAUAAUGUUCUGGGACUUUUGAGUACAGGCCUUAAAAGGACUGGCAUCUUCUGCUUUUCCAUUUGGAACACCAGCCUGCUGUAUUGUGGAAAAGUCCAGGCCAGGACACUACAUGAUUAGAGGUGGUAUGGAGAGAGCACUGGAGGAGAGGAGAUCAUCUUGGAUGUCCCAGCUUUAGCCAAACUCCCAGCUGAAUGCAGCUGCACAUGUGACCUCAGCCUACCCCAUCUGAAUCAGACCCACCCAGCUGAGCUCACUCAAUCCACAUAUUUGUGAGAAAUAAUAAAUUGUUUGAAGCCACUA